CUUUUUCUUUCUUAAAGGGCUCUGAGUACCUGCUUGAACAGAGCUCCCUGGCCUCUAAUGCUGAGUGUGUGAUGCUUCAAAAUGUAUCUAAAGAAUCUUUUGAAAGGACUAUUAAUAUAGCAAAAGGCAAUUCUAGCCUAGGAAUGACAGUUAGUGCUAAUAAAGAUGGCUUGGGGAUGAUCGUUCGAAGCAUUAUUCAUGGAGGUGCCAUUAGUCGAGAUGGCCGGAUUGCCAUUGGGGACUGCAUCUUGUCCAUUAAUGAAGAGUCUACCAUCAGUGUAACCAAUGCCCAGGCACGAGCUAUGUUGAGAAGACAUUCUCUCGUUGGCCCUGACAUAAAGCACCCAGUCAGUCAGAGUCAGAGCCAGAGAAGGCUCCAUUGUGCAGUGUGCCCCCACCCCCUCCUUCAGCCUUUGCAGAAAUGGGUAGUGAUCACACACAGUCAUCUGCAAGCAAAAUCUCACAAGAUGUGGACAAAGAGGAUGAGUUUGGUUACAGCUGGAAAAAUAUCAGAGAGCGUUAUGGAACCCUAACAGGCGAGCUGCAUAUGAUUGAACUGGAGAAAGGUCAUAGUGGUUUGGGCCUAAGUCUUGCUGGGAACAAAGACCGAUCCAGGAUGAGUGUCUUCAUAGUGGGGAUUGAUCCAAAUGGAGCUGCAGGAAAAGAUGGUCGAUUGCAAAUUGCAGAUGAGCUUCUAGAGAUCAAUGGUCAGAUUUUAUAUGGAAGAAGUCAUCAGAAUGCCUCAUCGAUCAUUAAAUGUGCCCCUUCUAAAGUGAAAAUAAUUUUUAUCAGAAAUAAAGAUGCAGUGAAUCAGAUGGCCGUAUGUCCUGGAAAUGCAGUGGAACCUUUGCCUUCUAAUUCAGAAAAUCUUCAAAAUAAGGAGACAGAGCCAACUGUUACUACUUCUGAUGCAGCUGUGGACCUCAGUUCAUUUAAAAAUGUGCAACAUCUGGAGCUUCCCAAGGAUCAGGGGGGUUUGGGUAUUGCUAUCAGCGAAGAAGAUACACUCAGUGGAGUCAUCAUAAAGAGCUUAACAGAGCAUGGGGUAGCAGCCACGGAUGGACGACUCAAAGUCGGAGAUCAGAUAUUGGCUGUAGAUGAUGAAAUUGUUGUUGGUUACCCUGUUGAAAAGUUUAUUAGCCUUCUGAAGACAGCAAAGACGACAGUAAAACUUACCAUCCAUGCUGAGAAUCCAGAUUCCCAGGCUGUUCCUUCAGCAGCUGGUGCAGCCAGUGGAGAAAAAAAGAACAGCUCCCAGUCUCUGAUGGUCCCACAGUCUGGCUCCCCGGAACCGGAGUCCAUCCGAAAUACAAGCAGAUCAUCAACACCAGCAAUUUUUGCUUCUGAUCCUGCAACCUGCCCCAUUAUCCCUGGCUGCGAAACAACCAUCGAGAUUUCCAAAGGGCGAACGGGGCUGGGCCUGAGCAUCGUUGGGGGUUCAGACACGCUGCUGGGUGCCAUUAUUAUCCAUGAAGUUUAUGAAGAAGGAGCAGCAUGUAAAGAUGGAAGACUCUGGGCUGGAGAUCAGAUCUUAGAGGUGAAUGGAAUUGACUUGAGAAAGGCCACACAUGAUGAAGCAAUCAAUGUCCUGAGACAGACGCCACAGAGAGUGCGCCUGACACUCUACAGAGAUGAAGCCCCAUACAAAGAGGAGGAAGUGUGUGACACCCUCGCUAUUGAGCUGCAGAAGAAGCCGGGAAAAGGCCUAGGAUUAAGUAUUGUUGGUAAAAGAAACGAUACUGGAGUAUUUGUGUCAGACAUUGUCAAAGGAGGAAUUGCGGAUGCCGAUGGAAGACUGAUGCAGGGAGACCAGAUAUUAAUGGUGAAUGGGGAAGACGUUCGUAAUGCCACCCAGGAAGCGGUUGCCGCUUUGCUAAAGUGUUCCCUAGGCACAGUAACCUUGGAAGUUGGAAGAAUGAAAGCUGGUCCAUUCCAUUCAGAGAGGAGGCCGUCUCAAAGCAGCCAGGUGAGUGAAGGCAGCCUGUCAUCUUUCACUUUUCCACUCUCUGGAUCCAGUACAUCUGAGUCACUGGAAAGUAGCUCAAAGAAGAAUGCAUUGGCAUCUGAAAUACAGGGAUUAAGAACAGUUGAAAUAAAAAAGGGCCCUACUGACUCACUGGGAAUCAGCAUCGCUGGAGGAGUAGGCAGCCCACUUGGUGACGUGCCUAUAUUUAUUGCAAUGAUGCACCCAACUGGAGUUGCAGCACAGACCCAAAAACUCAGAGUUGGGGAUAGGAUUGUCACUAUCUGUGGCACAUCCACUGAGGGCAUGACUCACACCCAAGCAGUUAACCUACUGAAAAAUGCAUCUGGCUCCAUUGAAAUGCAGGUGGUUGCUGGAGGAGAUGUGAGUGUGGUCACAGGUCAUCAGCAGGAGCCUGCAAGUUCCAGUCUUUCUUUCACUGGGCUGACGUCAAGCAGUAUAUUUCAGGAUGAUUUAGGACCUCCUCAAUGUAAGUCUAUUACACUAGAGCGAGGACCAGAUGGCUUAGGCUUCAGUAUAGUUGGAGGAUAUGGCAGCCCUCAUGGAGACUUACCCAUUUAUGUUAAAACAGUGUUUGCAAAGGGAGCAGCCUCUGAAGACGGACGUCUGAAAAGGGGCGAUCAGAUCAUUGCUGUCAAUGGGCAGAGUCUAGAAGGAGUCACCCAUGAAGAAGCUGUUGCCAUCCUUAAACGGACAAAAGGCACUGUCACACUGAUGGUUCUCUCUUGAAUUGGCUGCCAGAAUUGAACCAACCCAACCCCUAGCUCACCUCCUACUGUAAAGAGAAUGGACUGGUCCUGACAUUUUUUAUGCUGUGUUCAGCCGGGUCUUCAAAACUGUAGAGGGGAAAUAACACUUAAGUUUGUUUUUCUCAUAUACAAAUGCUUUCCUUACUGACAACCUAAUAUCAUUUUUCUUUUCUUCUCGCAUUUUGUGAACUUAAAGUCAGAGAGAAGGAAUAUUUGUGUAGGUGAAUCUCGUUUUUAUUUGUGAAGAUAUCUAAUGUUUUGUAGUCACAUGGGCAAGAAUUAUUACAUGCUAAGCUGGUUAGUAUAAAGAAAGAUAAAUUCUAAGGCUAACCAAAGAAAAUGGCUUCAGUAAAUUAGGAUGAAAAAUGAAAAUAUAAAAUAAAGAAGAAAAUCUCGGGGAGUUUAAAAAAAUUGCCUCAAUUUGGCAAUCUACCUCCUCUCCCCACCCCAAACU
rnacentral:sRNA from 1 species